rnacentral:tRNA from 8 species
GGGGGUGUAGCUCAGUUGGUUAGAGCGCCUGCCUGUCACGCAGGAGGCCGCGGGUUCGAGUCCCGUCACUCCCGCCA